rnacentral:rRNA from 1 species
CUACGGGUCCGCUCCAGUGAGGAAUAUUGCACAAUGGAGGAAACUCUGAUGCAGCAACGCCGCGUGGAGGAUGACGCAUUUCGGUGUGUAAACUCCUUUUAUAUGUCAAGAAAAUGACGGUAGCAUAUGAAUAAGCUCCGGCUAACUCCGUGCCAGCAGCCGCGGUAAUACGGAGGGAGCAAGCGUUACUCGGAAUCACUGGGCGUAAAGGACGCGUAGGCGGGAUAGAAAGUCAGGUGUGAAAUCCUAUGGCUCAACCAUAGAACUGCACUUGAAACUUCUAACCUAGAGUAUGGGAGGGGAAGAUGGAAUUAGUGGUGUAGGGGUAAAAUCCGUAGAUAUCACUAGGAAUACCAAAAGCGAAGGCGAUCUUCUGGAACAAUACUGACGCUAAGGCGUGAAAGCGUGGGGAGCAAACAGGAUUAGAUACCCCCGUAGUC